UUGCAGUGUUUUCCCGCUAUAUCAUUUGCUAACAGAAAUACUAUUAAUUCAUUUGUAUGUACUAGCACCAACUAGUGGCCCUAUUCCUGCUGCCAAGCUAUCAUAUUAUGUUCAGAUUCGAUCGAGACAGUCGUUAGAAUUAUAACUCGUUCUAUCAUACCUCACAUAGUUGUCGCAAGUGGGUGGCGGCAUUUAUGUUUUGCCACGCAGAGUAUCUGCUUAUUAUCAAGUGGUAUUUGAAAGUCCCUUCCAUACAUUUCCGAAUCCACAAAGUAUGUCAGUAGAACAAAUUGAGAGAUUCAAUAAAUGGAAAUCUGUUCUCAGCGCAGACUCUCAGGAAGACACAAAAAUACAUGUAUAAUAAAUAACAUUCGGCUUUACAACAGACAUUUUGAGAAGUGCCAUAAACUAUCAUCAAAUAUAUUUACUAAAAUUCAGUUCCAACAUUAUUCCUUGGCCAAACCAUGCAACUCCCAUUGAAAUUUAUAGGCUGCAGUUGGUGAGUGGAAUCGAGUAAUAUGGAAAAAUUUUAAAGUGUAUUAAACAGAGCCUUUAAGAAGAGCACAAAUUAUAAUUGGAUUUUUUUGAAAUUAAUGAAACCAGUGAAAGAAUUAAAGGAUAAAUGUAGAAAACAAAGAAAUGAAAUUAAAAUUGUAAAAAAGCUUUCAAGGACUAAAGCUUUUAUUAAAAAAAUAGAUAAAUUACCUGAACCCAUAAAUCUUUUUAUAAAGAUUGAUGAUGGGGGAUGGGGGAUGACUGCCAUGUUACACCAAGUGGCCUGCAAGCAUGUUCAUUCUUCUACGCAAUGUAAAUUAAUAUAAAAUAUUUACUUUCAAAGGAUUGAUAAUGUCAAAAUUUGAUGGGAAAAUUUUAUGGAGCACAUAAAAUGUCUGAAAAAUGAUAAUCAAGAUUGAUGCACAAUAUUUGGACCAGAAGGUGUUUAUGUCACAAAUUAAUUAAUUUGUAUGAUUACAUUAAUACUCAAUUUUUCAUGGUCGUAGUUUUUUAAUAUAAGUUACUCACUUAAGGUACUUUGUUUCUCCUUUUCAAAAUAGAAACUGAUUCAGUGAGGAAUUUGAACUCGCAAGGGAACUUAUUUUUUUUAAAUAUGUUUAAAAUUAUAAAUUAAUAAUUGAAAUAGUCCAUGAGAUCUAAAUAAUUUAAACCAAAUUUUUUUAAAUAGGUUUUUUAGUUCUUAUUGUUAUACAAUAAGAUUUCAAUAGAUAUUUUAGUUAGUAAGUUAGGCAAUAAUAUAUGAAAAUGUUGAUAUACAAUAUUGUAAACAACCCUUUGUAAAUUCUACGGGAAGUUGAUUUUAAUUGAUGGUGGAUCAAAAGCCAACGGUCUUGAAAAGUAUUAUUUGCAAUUAUUCAGAUUAACCACGAAAUAGUAUGUAUGUUACGUCGCAUUGUUUUAUGUAUGAGCUGAUAGAAAUGGAAAUGCCCAGAGAUGAUUACAGUUAUGACAUUUUAAUUCCUUGAAAUCAGUAUACUUUACUUGCGUGACUAAGUGUAUUAAUAAUUUAUUAAAACCUAAGCGGUAGACAGCGACGCCUAUGGCACUGCUGAACUCCAUGAGCAUUGGUAAUCACCUAACCAUAAGCAGGAUUUUUUAUUUAUUUCUUAGAUGGGUGGACUAGGUCGCAGCCGACCUGGUGUUAAGUGGUAACUGAAGACCAUAGAUAUCUACAACUUAAAUGCGCCACCCACCUUGAGAUAUAAGUUCUAAGGUCUGAGCAGAGGCGGAUUUACCCUAAGGCCCGAUAGGCCCGGGCCUAGGGCGGACAGAUUUAGGGGCGGCCCAAAUCUUGUCAAAAAAGCUUAGAUAUGUAACGUAUGCGGCGGCGGCGGACUGCACUGCAUGGUGCAAUCAAUCUAUGCCGCAUAAAACUAUUUUUUUUUCCUAAAUUUCUAAAUCUAAAAAGUUGACAAUAAUUUCAUUAUGUGUAGUCUUGUGGUGGACGCUGAGAAAGAGGCGGCUGAUGGCUUGGGGCCUAGGGCAGCCGAGACUGCAAAUCUGCCACUGGGUCUGAGUAUACCUAGUCUUGCCAUAAGUAAAUACUGAGACAAAGGAAAACAAAAAUGUCUAUUGCAAAUAACAUUUAUUACUUUUACAGUGUGUUAGUUUAAUACAUAAAUAUAAAAAAUUUUAAAGUAUAUAAAGCUUAUUCGAAGUGGUCUCCAUUGGCUGCAAUACAGUCUUUUAAACGUUGAGGCCAGUUAUCAAUAGAAGCACGCACUCUUUCCAUGGGAAAAUUUUUCACUGCCAAUCGUACGGAUUGUUUUAGGGAUUCCAAAUUAUCAUGGCGUUUAGAGCAAGGCGUACUCUCUAAAACUGACCAUAAAUCAUAAUCCAGCGGCUUAAGAUCGGGACUAGACGACGGCCAGUCUCCAGCUCUGAUGAAGUCCGAAACGUUCGUUUUCAACCAAGACUGCGUAGACCGAGCUUUAUGACCUGGCGCCGAGUCUUGCUGGAAGGACCAUUCUUGAUUAUUGAACAUGGUGUUGUUAAGGGGCUUCACUACCUUCUCAAGAAUGGUAUCUUGAUACACUUGUGCCGAUGUUUUGAUACCUUGUUCACAAAAGUAUGGCUCAGUCACUCCUUCAUAGCUAAUACCCCACCAAACCAUAACUGAAGUCGGAUAGUGCCCACGUUGCACUCUGUCGACUAAUUGGGAAGUGUUAAAAUGUUGCUCAAUUGUAAAAAUUUUCUCAUCCGUAAACAGUUUUUUUUUUAUGAUUGAAUGAUUACUUGUGGCCCGGAGGCCUUUCCAGUUUCACCAGGACAGGUGAAACCUGCCAGGGCGAGCAAAGGCUCAGCCAGGAGGGGUGGGAUUUGCUAACAGCUACCCGAGCGCCUCCGAAGGAGACCUAACAGCUCAAGAGUAGCUGCUUCGCGAAUGAGUCUACUACCGGAUCGGAAUCGCGACCCGCUGAGAAGAUCCGGCGAGAAACUCAGCGAGCUGAUUCAUGGGUUAGGUUGCACGGCGAACUCUUUGUCGAGUUCGACGAGUACGGUUACCGAGGUCCCUAAGCCUGCUCCUAGUGUCAGAGCUGAAGGCGUCUAAUGCAAAAGUUAUUGGAUCUGAUGGAUCCGUAAGGACGUGUCUAGGGCGUUGACGGUGACUGGCUCCUGCGUGAUCAGGAUUCGGGGAGUAGUCAGCGGAGGCAACGAUAAGGCGAUUACUCUGCGCUUACGUUCCAUCGAAGCAAUGUCAGAGCUCGACUCAGACCACCGACCUGUCGUUAUGCAGCUCGGUCGCCCCCACAACCCAGUCACAGCUACGAGGACCAUGGUGGACUGGAAGAAGCUGGGCAAAUGCUUAGCCGAUGCCGCUCCACCAAUCCUCCCCUGCGGCCCGGAUUCAACUCCAUCCCCCGAGGACACAGUCGAAUCCAUAAACAUCAUCACGGAUCACAUCUCUUCCGCGAUCAUAAGAUCCUCAAAAGAAGUCGAUGUGGAGGAUAGCUUUCACCGCAUCAGACUGUCCCCCGAACUUAGGAACCUCCUAAGAGUUAGAAACGCGGCAAUCCGGGCCUACGAUCAACUUCCCACGCACUCAAACCGGAUUCGGAUGCGUCGUCUACAGCGGGAUGUAAAAUCUCGCCUAAGCGACGCCCGAAAUGAGAAUUGGGAUAGUUACUUAGAAGGACUCGCGCCCUCUCAUCAAGCAUACUGGCGACUAGCAAGGACUCUCAAGUCCGAAACUACCGCUACUAUGCCUCCUCUCGUACGCCCUUCAGGACAACCACCGGCUUUCGAUGACGAUGACAAGGCAGAGUUGCUGGCCGAUGCACUGCAAGAGCAGUGCACCACCAGCACUCAAUACGCGGACCCCGAACACUCCGAGGCAGUCGACAGGGAGGUCGAGCGCAGAGCUUCCCUGCCACCCUCGGACGCGUUACCCCCCAUUACCUCUGACGAAGUUAGAAAAGUAAUAGAUAACCUUCAACCUAAGAAGGCACCCGGCUCCGACGGCAUCCGCAACCGCGCGUUAAAACUCUUACCAGUCCAACUGAUAACAAUGUUGGCUACCAUCUUAAAUGCCGCUAUGACGCACUGCAUCUUUCCGGCGGUGUGGAAAGAAGCGGACGUUAUCGGUAUACACAAGCCGGGCAAACCGAAUAAUGAAACCGCUAGUUACCGUCCGAUUAGUCUCCUCCCAGCGAUAGGCAAAAUUUACGAACGACUCCUUCGGAAACGCCUCUGGGACUUCGUUACCGCGAAUAAAAUUCUAAUAGACGAGCAGUUUGGAUUCCGCGCCAAACACUCGUGCGUACAACAAGUGCACCGCCUCACGGUGCACAUCUUAAUAGGGCUAAAUAGGCGUAAACAAAUCCCGACCGGCGCCCUCUUCUUCGAUGUAGCGAAGGCGUUCGACAAAGUCUGGCACAACGGUUUGAUCUACAAACUGUACAACAUGGGAGUGCCAGACAGACUCGUGCUCAUCAUACGAGACUUCUUGUCGAACCGUUCGUUUCGAUAUCGAGUAGAGGGAACUCGUUCUCGUCCCCGUCAUCUGACUGCCGGAGUCCCGCAAGGCUCCGCACUCUCCCCGUUACUAUUUAGUUUGUAUAUCAACGAUAUACCCCGGUCUCCGGAGACCCAUCUAGCGCUCUUCGCCGAUGACACGGCUAUCUACUACUCGUGUAGGAAGAUGUCGUUGCUUCAUCGGCGACUCCAGACCGCAGUAACCACCAUGGGACAGUGGUUCCGGAAGUGGCGAAUAGACAUUAACCCCACGAAAAGCACAGCGGUGCUAUUCAAAAGGGGUCGCCCUCCGAAUACCACUUCGAGCACCCCACUCCCCAAUAGGCGCGUAAACACCUCCGCCGUUAGCCCCAUCACUCUCUUUGACCAGCCCAUACCGUGGGCCCCGAAGGUCAAAUACCUAGGCGUCACCCUCGACAGAGGGAUGACAUUCCGUCCCCACGUAAAAACGGUACGCGAUCGCGCCGCGUUUAUACUAGGACGACUCUACCCAAUGCUUUGUAGACGAAGCAAACUGUCCCUCCGUAACAAGGUAACCCUCUACAAAACUUGCAUACGCCCCGUCAUGACGUAUGCAAGCGUAGUGUUCGCUCACGCGGCCCGCACCAACUUGAAACCCCUUCAGGUUAUACAAUCCCGAUUCUGCAGGAUAGCCGUCGGAGCACCAUGGUUCCAGAGGAACGUGGACCUCCACGAUGACCUGGAGCUCGACCCCGUCAGUAAGUAUCUACAGUCGGCAUCGCUGCGCCACUUUGAGAAGGCGGCACGACAUGAGAAUCCUCUUGUCGUGGCCGCCGGAAACUACAUACCCGAUCCUGUAGACCGUUUGGUAAACCGUCGACGUCGCCCAAAGCACGUCAUCACGGAUCCUCCUGAUCCAUUAACGGUGCUUUUAGGCAAUACAAGCACCGGUCACCGUCCUCGCCGAACCCGUCGCUUGCGACGAAGGGCUCGACGAGCGAAUUAACCCACAGACACAGCCCACUGAGUUUCUCGCCGGAUCUUCUCAGUGGGUCGCGCUUCCGAUCCGGUGGUAGAUUCUGCGAAGCACUGCUCUUGCUAGGGCGGUGUUAGCAAUUCUCCGGUUUGAGCCCCGCGAGCUCACCUACACAAGCUAGGGUACGCUGAAAUAGCCUCUCAAGGCUAUCAGCAUAGGUAGGAAUAAAAAAAAAGGCGAUUAUCAUGACGCAUAGCCUUAUCGAAGUACCGUUCCGACGCUGACUUCAUGUAUUUCUGGAUAGAUUCGAGGCCCAGGUCGUCGUGUAGGUCAACGUUCCUCACGAACCACGGAGCUCCGACGGCUAACCUGCAAAAGCGGGAUUGUAGAGAUUGUAGGGUGUCUAAGUGUGUGCGGGCCGCGUGAGCGAACACCACACUCGCGUAAGUCAUGACGGGCCUUAUGCAAGUUUUGUAAAGUGUCACCUUGUUCCGAAGGGACAUUUUACUCCGCUUACAGAUCAUGGGGUAGAGUCUACCGAGAAUAAACGCGGCACGGUCACGGACUGAUUUUAUAUGUGGGCGGAAUGUCAUCGAUGCAUCCAGGGUAACGCCCAGGUACUUGACCUUCCUGGCCCAGGGUAUGGGUUGUCUAAAGAGAGUAAUCGGGGGUGUGAGAUUCCUCCUCCUAAUACGGGAGGAAAUCCGUGUGGAGCUUUCCCUCUGAAAUAGCACCGCAGUACUUUUCGCUGGGUUGAUGUCUAUGCGCCAUUUUCGGAACCACUGUCCUAGGGCUAGGGCUGCGCUCUGAAGCUUCUUCGCGAUUAGGGACUUGUUUCUACUGGAAUAGUAAACAGUCGUGUCGUCGGCGAAUAAAGCUAAAUGGGUCGGUGGCGACCGGGGAAUAUCGUUAACGAAUAAGCUAAAUAGGAGGGGUGAGAGGACAGAGCCUUGCGGGACUCCAGUUGUGAGAGGGAAAAUUUUUUUUUUUCUAUGACCUCCCUUUGCGUACCGCUUCAGUAGUUGUUUCGAUUUUACCACCCUAUUCUCUUUUAAAUUAUCAGUUAAGAAAUGACGUCGCUUAUAGGCUGCAAGUCCUAAUAGUAUAGGAUCCGAUAUACAACGACCUUCACCGAGCUGGUUAAUGGAUCAAACACAUUUUUUAUGUAAUUUAAUAUAUCAAAAAAUAUAUUGUAUAUGGGUUGCCUAGCAAAUUUCAGUCCAGGAUAUUUUUAAUUAAUUUUGUAAGUAAGUAAAGUUGUUGUAGUAACAUGUCUUUCUGCAGAGGCCUGAAGGCUCGCCUCUUUGGAAGCUUCGGUAGCAUACUUCACACCAUCCGGCCCGGGUACCGAAAGGCGCCGGGCGUCAACCGGAUCACCCGACAGAUCACUUUCAAAUGUUUCUCUGUCCAUGACUCUCUUGGGAUGUAAUUGUGGUGGGUUCCCACGUCCUUCCGCAUCAGUAUUUCGAAGGGAUUUAGUCCUUCACGGCAACUGGUCCCGCUCCGGGUCACUGGUUGGAUCCGGGGGCUGGGUUAUUUCCCGCCGCCCAGUGCUCGGCAUUGACGUUUUACGGUAGGAAUGUCCAUCUCUACUCAACCCUCCUCUUUUCUCAUCCGGGCUUGGGACCGGCUAUGGCAGACUUAAUGCAAACUAAUGGUUUUUUAAUCAGUUUAAUUAAUUGUAAGAUGAUUUUUUUUAAAUCUCGUGUUUGUUACAUCGAUAAUAUUAAUCGAUUAUCACAAAAGCUAAAGGGUCAGAAACGUCAGAAUAGAAAAAAAAUUACACGAGAUAAAACAAACUAUUAUAAUCAUGUGUAAGAUUUCUAUGAGCGUCGUUAAAUAUCAACUAUUAAUAUUUAUGAGUAUUUGUAAGUCGUCAUUACUUUUUUGAGAUGUUUUUUGAACUUAAAUCACUUUGGCGAUUUAACGUUAUAAAAGGACUUAUUUUUGUUCGAAAUUUUAUACAAUUGUAUGUUAUAUAUUUACUUUAAACAGUAAAUUGUAUAUCAUAAAAGGAAAAUAAAUAGCUUACCGAAA